rnacentral:rRNA from 1 species
UACGUAGGGUGCAAGCGUUGUCCGGAAUUAUUGGGCGUAAAGAGCGUGUAGGCGGCCCGAUUAGUCCGCUGUGAAAGUCCAGGGCUCAACCCUGGAAUGCCGGUGGAUACUGUCGGGCUAGAGUCCGGAAGGGGCGAGUGGAAUUCCUGGUGUAGCGGUGAAAUGCGUAGAUAUCAAGUGGAACACCAGUGGCGAAGGCGAGUCUCUGGACAUUUCCUGACGCUGAGGCACGAAAGCCAGGGGAGCAAACGGG